rnacentral:lncRNA from 1 species
CUGUGCUUGUGGCGAAGGUGAAGGACUGUCGUCAUUCUUUAAGUUUUCCAACUCUUGAUUGACUAAAUCUUCUUCUUCCUCGUCGGAAUUCGCUUUUAUUUCUUCGUUUUCUGAGUCCGUCAUUUCGCUUUUGUCUGGCAUUUCAAGCCCUCUUCUUUAGUAUAAUUGACUGAGGCCCGUGCGAGUCUUUCGUUUGAAUAGCUGCAGAAAAGUAAU